rnacentral:rRNA from 1 species
AUUGAACGCUGGCGGCAUGCCUUACACAUGCAAGUCGAACGGCAGCACGGGUGCUUGCACCUGGUGGCGAGUGGCGAACGGGUGAGUUAUACAUCGGAACGUACCUUAUCGGGGGGGAUAACGCAGCGAAAGCUGUGCUAAUACCGCAUACGCCCUGAGGGGGAAAGCGGGGGAUCGCAAGACACCGCGCGCUUAGAGCGGCCGAUGCCUGAUUAGAUUGUUGGUGGGGUAAAAGCCCACCAAGGCGACUAUCAGUAGCUGGUCUGAGAGGACGAUCAGCCACACUGGGACUGAGACACGGCCCAGACUCCUACGGGAGGCAGCAGUGGGGAAUUUUGGACAAUGGGGGCAACCCUGAUCCAGCAAUGCCGCGUGAGUGAAGAAGGCCUUCGGGUUGUAAAGCUCUUUUGUCAGGGAAGAAGCACCGGCUCUAACACAGUCCGGGAAUGACGGUACCUGAAGAAUAAGCACCGGCUAACUACGUGCCAGCAGCCGCCGUAA